AUUGAACGCUGGCGGCAGGCCUAACACAUGCAAGUCGAACGGUAACAGGAAGAAGCUUGCUUCUUUGCUGACGAGUGGCGGACGGGUGAGUAAUGUCUGGGAAACUGGCUGAUGGAGGGGGAUAACUACUGGAAACGGUAGCUAAUACCGCAUAACGUCGCAAGACCAAAAAGGGGGACCUUCGGGCCUCUUGCCAUCGGAUGUGCCCAGAUGGGAUUAGCUAGUAGGUGGGGUAACGGCUCACCUAGGCGACGAUCCCUAGCUGGUCUGAGAGGAUGACCAGCCACACUGGAACUGAGACACGGUCCAGACUCCUACGGGAGGCAGCAGUGGGGAAUAUUGCACAAUGGGCGCAAGCCUGAUGCAGCCAUGCCGCGUGUAUGAAGAAGGCCUUCGGGUUGUAAAGUACUUUCAGCGGGGAGGAAGGGAGUAAAGUUAAUACCUUUGCUCAUUGACGUUACCCGCAGAAGAAGCACCGGCUAACUCCGU
rnacentral:rRNA from 1 species